GCAGCGCAGCAGGUGAUUUCAGCAACAUGGCCAACAAUAAGCGACAAGGACAGCUUGAUCUGAGGGACUACUUCGGCUUUAAGAGGACAAAAAGUACCACCGAAGAGCAGGAUAAUCAUGGCGAGGAAGCAGGAAGGAGAGCAGAGGAGCCUAGAGCUGGAGAAGGAACAG